UUUUCUGGUGCCUGCUGGCCAGAAAUAACUGCAGGCUCCACAUUUAUCCAGCCAUGUCCCUCGCUGUUCUUUACAACUGGAGGUCUCAUUCAUCGCCGUUGUAAUGCCAGUGGUCAUUGGGAAAGGAUGAAUAUUAGCCAGUGUCGCAAAUUGGAGUCAAGCCAAGUCCUCAAUAACAUGAAAGACUGUAACCUCUUGAACACCACGUGUUUCCAGUCAGGAGAAGCCUCCACAAUGGAAUUAUAUCAGCUGUACAUCAACGAAGGUCGCGUGUUCGUGGUAUUCAGUUGGAUUUCUGUAUCAAUCAUGC